CAGAGCUACAAGAAGUACACAAAAGACAGGGGUGUAGAAGAAAGAGCUGGAAUCCAGCCCUCAACUGAAAAUGUUCUUUGAGUUUUUCCUUCCCGUUUUUUUUUUCUUGAUUUACAAAAUCGGUGUAUUCAGCUUAAGUAAACAGGAAGGAAGCCGUGAGUGUGUGAGCUGAAAGUCAGUUUUGGAUCUUUGUUUUGUUCCUCUCACUUUGCAGAGAAGCCGUUGCCACAAGGUGGCCCUGGAGGCUUCAUCGGCAUCUUGGGGAUCAUAGUAGCUGGUGGACUCAUCAUUGGAGUGGCCGUCACUGUGUUUGUGGUCUACAGACGGCAGCAGAAGACUCGCACGGAGACCGACAACGACCUGACCGAUCUCCCUCCAGCUCACAAGCCAGCCCCUCCCCCACCCAAGAAGAAGAACACUGAAUUCAAGUGCCACUUGACGUCUGAAGAAAUCCAGAACCCUGGGAAGCAUUAUGAAGAGCUACCCAACACAGCUGACUAUGUGAGCUAUCGCCUUGCCUGCAACAAAGAGGAUUGCAUUGAUCCCCACCCCCCUUCAGUGUACCCUCCACUGACGUAUCUGCCACAGAACCCCUACACACACCUUCCCUCCAGCAAUCCAGCAUUCAGGUGCCCGGUUCCAGGUUCGAUCGCUCCUUACACCUUCCCCAAAGAGCAAUAUGUCUAGGUAGCUGGCUCCACUUGGUAGAAACCUUAAUUUGAAAAGUAAUGAAUAAUAAUAAUGAUAGUAAUGGAUAAUUAAUGUACAGCGUGGGGUUCUUACAAUUUAUGGACAUAUCUGUGCUGUAUCGGCCCCGUGUGCGUGGUGUACAGCAUGUUUCAUCAAAAUGAUGCCCGGGCCCCUCAUGAUCCGUCCCAGAGUGAAGCUCUCCUUGGUAUCUGUGCUCCAGGUACCCCGAUAAAAAAAGCACCUUCGCCUUGUUUGUUCUUCUCCAACGUUGGUGUCUUUCUACAUUUCAGUUAUUUCAAUGUGUAUGUGUUUACAGUCAAUGUCUGCUGGAGUUUUCCUGUUUUUUUUUAAAUUAUUAUUUAUAUUCUAUCUGCAGAUAAUAAUAUGCGGUGUUAUCUGGAUGUAAAACAAUGACGUUUUCUUCUUUUUUUUUGAAAGUUCUUUAAUUUCAUCUAAAUGUGUUUGGAGGCACUGAAAAUUUCUGAUAAUUAUUUCAACAUAAUAUAGUCAAGAUUUUGAGUGGAACCAGAAUUUUAACCCACAUGUACUAUUCCCUGUGGGGGAAGAAAAAACCAGCUGCAGGGGGAUAAAAUUUUCUAUGAAACUUGAAUACAGAAUGAUUUUUUUUUUUUUUUUUUGUUUUUUUUUCUGGCCUUGCUGUCUCUGCAGCACUAUAAUGGGAAGGAACAAAAAAAAACGUGAUUCACAUCAGUUUCAUUGCUGAGUUCUCUGGGAUGAAACAGUGAAAUAUAGAGUGGCCACUACUUUCAACUCUCUUUUCUCUUAUUCUUUCUCUUAUUCUUUGUAGCGUUAAUUGCUUGUCAAUUAUGUGAUGUUAAAGCCGUAUUUAUUAUCUCCAGCUGUUUGUUUAUUUUUCUGCAUCUAUGUUUUAACUGUUCUUUUAAGCAGUGAAAUUAUUUUAAAUUUAAUAUCCCCACAAUGGCUGUUAAACAUUUGUCCAUGUUAUUGUUUUUAUUUUGUAUGCAUCCUGCAUCUA
ensembl:lncRNA